UGGGGAAUAUUGCACAAUGGGGGAAACCCUGAUGCAGCGACGCCGCGUGAGUGAAGAAGUAUUUCGGUAUGUAAAGCUCUAUCAGCAGGGAAGAAAGUGACAGUACCUGAGUAAGAAGCCCCGGCUAACUACGUGCC
rnacentral:rRNA from 1 species